AUAGAAUCUAAAGGAGUUGGACAGAGAAGCCCACUUUCAGUAGGAGUUCUGUUAAUGAUCCUGCCCCAGAGUGACAGUUCUAUGACUCAAGUCUACUCUUGGUCCCCCAGUGAGCGAAGAGCAUUUUCUGCUUUUCCAUUUGCCACAUGAUGCUUCUGACCAGCAAUGUCGACACAAGCAAUAUUUGGGGAAUCUCAGAGCAAGACAGUUCAGAUGUGAGUCUGGUGACCAGAAGAGAACUAAGGACCAAAUAUCUAGAUUUGGAAAAUAACAUAAAACUGUUACUUAAAAAUUUUCAGGAGUAGAAGAAAAUGUGUAAUGAUUGUGAGUGUGGCUAAAAGAACCUAAAACAAACUUGAUACUGGGCAAGCCGAGGAACAGGAGGAGGAAAAUCUCAUGAAGGAGCGCUCAGAGAAGAGACAACACAGACACCACUGGUGGUCACUCCCCAGGAGGUUUUGAUGGGAAGGUCACAGUGGUGCUAGGAAACAGGAGGAUGGUCUCUCUGCCGGCUUUUUCAGGCUCGCCGUGAUGACACGCAAGCACGAGGGGUAUUGGCUGCUGACUCUUCAUCGUGGAUGUACCUGCCUUCAGCUGCUAAAGAGGAAGGGACACGCAGAGGCAGCGAAGAGGAUGUGCCUGCAUUUUUAAAUAAACUGCCUUGUGAUGCAGAAGGCCUAUGAAACAUUUUCGAUAUCGAACCCGAGGUACAUGGAAAAUUACUCACAUGGUUUUAUUUUUCCCCCCCUGACGACUCUAGUAAUCCAAAGGGAAAUUAUUCUGGUUGAAUGACUCAUCUAAAACACGUUUUUUGACUGUAUCUUGGCCAAGGAAGAAUCUAUUCAGAGAUAACAAUUUAUUAUUUAACAUUUCGACAGGUCUACAGAAGUACAAGUCAAUUGAGUCCAAAUAAAGAAAUGUGCUAUUUUUAACAAAUUCUAGAUGUUCUUGGCAGAAGGUAGGCUAGACUUUGUCAGGGGAAAGAAACAGG
ensembl:lncRNA